AUUUUGCAAUCGUUCCUAUGGCAGCUAUCACCAUCGUUUUCGGAUUUAAAUAAAUUUAAAACAGUAAUUCUAAAAUAAUAAACCAUUACCUUGUAUCGAAGAAUAAUAAAAUCAGUUCGGCAAGCUGAAGUUGUGAAAACUAUGAUGAUUUUCUGAUGAAUUACACUGGCUUACAAAUUUAAAUCGACAAAGUCGUCCAGAGAUCAAACCAUGAAUUUCCAGCGCAGAUGGACUCCCUGAUUCAGAAUAUGACGCUCACAAAAAACUAUGAUACCCUUUUUUUUAAAGUAAAAAACGUUUUCCACCCGUUUUCAAGCCUAUUUAAUUUUUUCUCCAGUUCUGCUGAACUAAUUUUGGUCACCGAUAGUUAAUUUUAAGAGAAAUAGAACAUUCGUCCGAUUUUAAUAAAACUAAAAUCAUAAAUUUAAAAGUUUAUUUAAAAGUGGGGAAGUUUGCGUAAAAACGGACGGACAUAGCUAGAUCGACUCUCCGAGUGUUGCUUAUCAAGAAUAUAUAUACUUUAUAGGUUCGGAAACGUCUCCUUCACUGCGUUGCAAACUUCUGACUGAAAUUAUAAUACCCUCUGAAAGGGUAUAAAAAAUAUCUCUUUAUUUCAAGAAAGCUUUCGUAAAAGUACAAUUAAAAACAUGUCGCUGUUCGCCAAAUAUAGGAGCGGUCGUAAUGCAAUUUAUGACAAAUCGAAAAAUUAGAGUUCGAGCUAAUCAUAAACAUUCAUCUAUCAACCCAAUGCACAACGGACAUGGGUAGAUCGACUAUUUUAGUGAUAUAUAUGUAGGAGAUUAAUUUGAAAUGCAAUGAAGAAAUAUUAUUUGUAAGUCUCUGAGUGUAUUGAAUAAACGAAGUUAAAAAGAAAUAAGGAAGAGAGAAGCUUUUGAGUAAGAGCGCGGUGGGGAAGGAGAGCGAAAUCCCUACUGAGCGUGGCGCAAUGAGAGGUAGAGAAUAAUGAGCGAGAGGAAGACAGUUCGAGAAAGCCUGCGAAACGGAACAGACGCUCGUGCAGAGAAAUCAUUGCGACUUGCUGCGCUGAAGAAUAUAUAAUUCCAUAAUGGCAGACGAACCAGACCCCCUAUCUCCUACAUCAGAAGUGGGAUCACCACCCCUACAAGACAAUUCGGAGAACAGCUGGCGCACGCUUCUGGAAUCGCAAAAUAUAGUGAUUACGGAACUUUUGAAAGCAGCACAACCCACGACGGCGCCUAGCACGCGCCCUGUCUCGGCAGUGUUACCAACUUUCAACCCCGAAGCUGCUGAAGCCGACGCAGCAGCAUGGUGCAAAACGGCUAGCAUGAUUCUAUGUGAACAUCCGCAAGAAGGUGCAUCUUUGGUAAUGACUCUCAGCAAGUCGUUGCUCGGUAGUGCAUCGCAGUGGCUAUCACAAAUAUGCUUCGCCGGAAUGAGCUGGGCGCAAUUCAAGGAAUUGUUCAUGGAGCGCUAUGAAGGCAACGAGACGCCGGCGGCAUUAUUGCUAAACAUGCUGAAGGGACGCCCAAGCCCCAACGAAUGCCUAUCAGUGUACUCCAGCCGAAUGGUUACAUCUUUAUUAACCAAGUGGAAAGCGAUGACACACGAAGAAAUUGCUAUAUCGUUGGUUCUGGCACAUUCGUCGCAAAUUGAUUCCAGACUGCAGCGCUUAGUGUUUACAACAAACAUAAAGACAAGAGCGGAGUAACAACAACAACUCAAAGCGCAUUCGUUCGUCAGAAAGUCUGAAUUCUCUGGAAUUUACAUGGGCCCCGAGAAGAAGAGGUUUAAAAUGCAAACGCCGAUUAGAUGCCAUAGUUGCGGAAAGCUGGGGCACAAAGCAAUAGAGUGUCACAGGAGGAAAGCAGAAGAGAGGAACGAGACGAGAGCAGGCCAUGGCAACGGCAGAUCAACGAUGAUGAGAGAGAGAUCAACUGUGACAUGUUUUAAAUGUCAGUGUGCACGAAGGGACCAGCAGAAGCGAGCAAAAGCAGCGAGAGAAUAGUGGACAUGUGCGCGAUUCUUCAGCCUAACGGUACUGCAAUACAAUUCGGUGAGCGGUUUCCAUUUUUCUUUGAUUCGGGUUCCGAAUGCUCGUUGGUAAAAGAAACAACAGGCGAGAAGCUAGGCGGCAAAAGAUGUCAUAAUUUGGUAGUUUUAAAAGGCAUUGGCUACAAUAUUGUCAAGAGCACUAUGCAAAUUCUGUCUACCGUACAAAUUUCAGAAUUUAAUUUCGAAUUGUUGUUCCACGUAGUAGAUAAUAAGUGUCUCAAAUAUGAUAUGAUAAUUGGACAAGACAUUUUUCAACUUGGCUUUGGAGUUAUGUUAGAAAGUAAUAAAUUUGAUAUUUAUAGAA